rnacentral:rRNA from 1 species
GUGGGGAAUAUUGGGCAAUGGGCGCAAGCCUGACCCAGCAACGCCGCGUGAAGGAAGAAGGCUUUCGGGUUGUAAACUUCUUUUGUCAGGGACGAAAAAAAUGACGGUACCUGACGAAUAAGCCACGGCUAACUACGUGCCAGCAGCCGCGGUAAUACGUAGGUGGCAAGCGUUAUCCGGAUUUACUGGGUGUAAAGGGCGUGUAGGCGGGAAAGCAAGUCAGAUGUGAAAACUAUGGGCUCAACCCAUAGCCUGCAUUUGAAACUGUUUUUCUUGAGUGUCGGAGAGGUAAUCGGAAUUCCGUGUGUAGCGGUGAAAUGCGUAGAUAUACGGAGGAACACCAGUGGCGAAGGCGGAUUACUGGACGAUAACUGACGCUGAGGCGCGAAAGCGUGGGGAGCAAACAGG